rnacentral:rRNA from 1 species
UACGUAGGAGGCAAGCGUUGUCCGGAAUUACUGGGCGUAAAGCGCGUGUAGGUGGUGGGACAAGUCUGCUGUGAAAGCGCCUGGCUUAACCGGGCGAGGUCGGCGGAAACUGUCCGACUAGAGGACGGAAGAGGCGAGUGGAAUUCCCGGUGUAGCGGUGAAAUGCGCAGAUAUCGGGAGGAACACCAAUGGCGAAGGCAGCUCGCUGGGACGUGACUGACGCUGAGACGCGAAAGCGUGGGGAGCAAACAGG